UAAUAGUUGCAAAUGAGGAAUGGGGAGAAUAUUUUAAAGCCUCCCCUCUCCCGCUUCUCGUUUUCUAUACCUCAUACUCAAUCAGUGUGCAAGAUUAGUAAGUUUUCCUCACGACUUUACUUUUAGUUUUCUUUAGGUUAUCCUUCAAAUAAUGGGAGAGAAUACUUUAUAACCUCCCCUUUCGUGCUCUCUCCUCGUUUUCUAUUCCUAAUGCCCAAUCAGUGUACAAGAUUAACAAGUUUCCAUCACGGCCUCCUUUUCAACUUUUCUUUAGGUUAUCCUUCUAAUAAUGGAUAAUGAGAGAGAAUAUAGUAUAGCUCUUCCUUUCCCACUCUCUCCUCGUUUUCUAUACCUUAUACCCAUUCAGCGUACAAGAUCAGCAAGUUUUCCUCACGACUUUAUUUUAACUUUUCAUUAUGUUAUCCUUCUAAUAUUCGUUAAUGAGCAAUGGGAAAUAAUACUUUGUAGCUCCUCCUUUCCCGCUCCCUCCUCGUUUUCUAUGCCGUAUACCUAAUCAGUGUACAAGAUCAGCAAGUUUUCCUUACGACUUUAUUUUAACUUUUCAUUAGGUUAUCCUUCUAAUAUUCGUUAAUGAGUAAUGGGAGAGAAUACUUUGUAGCUCCCCCUUUCCCGCUCCCUCCUCGUUUUCUAUGCCUUAUACCUGAUCAGUGUAAAAGACUACCAAGUUUUCAUCCUGGCCUCCUUUUUAGCUUCUCAUCGGGUCAUCCUUCCCCCUGGCACGUCUCUAUUUUAGGCGAGGAAUGUUAGAUCACCAAUUACUAGGCAGCCUCUAUCCUCCUCCUCCCCUGCAUACUUUGAUAACAAUGUACAAGGUUAUUAGUCAUUUUUACCCUUUUUCUUCAUUACGGCGCCCCUUUAAGAUAUCAUUAGCUUCCCGUCCCUGCUGCCACGCCUCCAGUUCAAGCUAAAAAUAUAACCAAUUAUUAGGCAUAGCGGGCUUUUUUUAAUUUAGUUUUGUUUUUUACCUUUGAGCCGUUUCCCUUUCUAUAAAAAAAGCACUAUUCUCCUCUGUUCUUUAACUU